AGUGAUUUGGAGGCUCUCUCCGACAAUUUGCCAGGAUUUUGGCAUUUGUAAGCAUCCAUAGGACAGCUCUCUAGCAAGCUGACCUUGACAGCGAAUGGGAUAAAUAAACCUUCAAUUUACCCCCUCCAGCUCUCUGCGAGCCAGCCCGGUCCCCACGGAGACUUCACCUGUCCAUAUCGUUCAACUGCCUGCAACUUCCAACUGACGAACAUCCACAGCUCUGCAGCCCAGUGACAAACACCAUCUAACAGAUAAGGCUUCUGAAAAGUCAAAGCCAAUACUGCUUCCAUUGAAAAUUUAAUGCUGGCUCCAUCUUUGCCCAUCAUUCUUCUGACUGUUGCACAUAUCCCAAGAGGCCCUUGAAGCUAAAGCACUGCUCUAUAACAGGUUGUUCUGAAGUUCAAAUGAGUCGAAACACAUACAUUGCUGUUCCCAGACCUGGCAGAAAACAAAUGCUCCUAAGUGUUAACAAGGCACCCAGAACAGGAGAUGGACCUGAGAAACAAUGCCAGAAACAAAGAGCCUUGGAGAACAGGUGGCUGGAUGCACAGGAAAGAAAAAGAGAGGGAUGGAGAGAGAGACAGAUCAGAGGAAAGAAGGAUGGAAGGAAGGAGAAAAACGGAUAUGUAUUUUAUUUAUUUAUAUAUUGCUCAGACUCAGAGAGUCCUUUGAAUCACAGGUUCUGCAUUCAAAGAUUCAACCAAAUUUGGACUAAAAAUACUAUAUUAAAAAAUAGCAUCUGAAUUGAAC
rnacentral:lncRNA from 1 species